rnacentral:rRNA from 1 species
AUUGAACGCUGGCGGCAUGCCUUACACAUGCAAGUCGAACGGCAGCACGGGGGCAACCCUGGUGGCGAGUGGCGAACGGGUGAGUAAUACAUCGGAACGUGCCCAGUCGUGGGGGAUAACGUAGCGAAAGCUACGCUAAUACCGCAUACGAACUGAGGUUGAAAGCGGGGGAUCGCAAGACCUCGCGCGAUUGGAGCGGCCGAUGGCAGAGUAGGUAGUUGGUGGGGUAAAGGCUCACCAAGCCGACGAUCUGUAGCUGGUCUGAGAGGACGACCAGCCACACUGGGACUGAGACACGGCCCAGACUCCUACGGGAGGCAGCAGUGGGGAAUUUUGGACAAUGGGCGCAAGCCUGAUCCAGCCAUUCCGCGUGCAGGAUGAAGGCCCUCGGGUUGUAAACUGCUUUUGUACGGAACGAAACGGCCUGGGUUAAUACCUCGGGCUAAUGACGGUACCGUAAGAAUAAGCACCGGCUAACUACGUGCCAGCAGCCGCGGUAACAC